rnacentral:rRNA from 1 species
AGUUACGAUUUGUUGCAAGGUUAAGCGGAAAAAGCGGAGCCGUAGCGAAAGCGAGUCUGAAUAGGGCGCAUAAGUAACAGGUCGUAGACCCGAAACCAGGUGAUCUACCCAUGUCCAGGAUGAAGGUAAGGUAAUACUUACUGGAGGUCCGAACCCACGCACGUUGAAAAGUGCGGGGAUGAGGUGUGGGUAGCGGAGAAAUUCCAAUCGAACUUGGAGAUAGCUGGUUCUCUCCGAAAUAGCUUUAGGGCUAGCCUCGAGGUAAAGAGUCAUGGAGGUAGAGCACUGUUUGGACUAGGGGCCCUUCUCGGGUUACCGAAUUCAGAUAAACUCCGAAUGCCAUGUACUUAUACUCGGGAGUCAGACUGCGAGUGAUAAGAUCCGUAGUCGAAAGGGAAACAGCCCAGACCACCAGUUAAGGUCCCCAAAUAUAUGUUAAGUGGAAAAGGAUGUGGGGUUGCUUAGACAACCAGGAUGUUGGCUUAGAAGCAGCCACCAUUGAAAGAGUGCGUAAUAGCUCACUGGUCGAGUGACCCCGCGCCGAAAAUGUACCGGGGCUAAACAUAUUACCGAAACUGUGGAUGAACCUCUUUAGAGGUUCGUGGUAGGAGAGCGUUCUAAGGGCGGUGAAGUCAGACCGGAAGGACUGGUGGAGCGCUUAGAAGUGAGAAUGCCGGUAUGAGUAGCGAAAGAAGGGUGAGAAUCCCUUCCACCGAAUAUCUAAGGUUUCCUGAGGAAGGCUCGUCCGCUCAGGGUUAGUCGGGACCUAAGCCGAGGCCGAUAGGCGUAGGCGAUGGACAACAGGUAGAGAUUCCUGUACCAGUGCUAAUUGUUUAACCGAUGGGGUGACACAGAAGGAUAGGGAAUCGCACGAAUGGAAAUGUGCGUCCAAGCAGUGAGUGUGAGAAGUAGGCAAAUCCGCUUCUCGCGAAGCAUGAGCUGUGAUGGGGAAGGAAAUUAAGUACGGAAGUUCCUGAUUUCACGCUGUCAAGAAAAGCCUCUAGGAAGAGUAGUACUGCCCGUACCGCAAACCGACACAGGUAGAUGAGGAGAGAAUCCUAAGGUGAGCGAGAGAACUCUCGUUAAGGAACUCGGCAAAAUGACCCCGUAACUUCGGGAGAAGGGGUGCUCUAUUAGGGUGCAAGCCCGAGAGAGCCGCAGUGAAUAGGCCCAGGCGACUGUUUAGCAAAAACACAGGUCUCUGCAAAACCGUAAGGUGACGUAUAGGGGCUGACGCCUGCCCGGUGCUGGAAGGUUAAGAGGAGUGCUUAGCUUCGGCGAAGGUACGAAUUGAAGCCCCAGUAAACGGCGGCCGUAACUAUAACGGUCCUAAGGUAGCGAAAUUCCUUGUCGGGUAAGUUCCGACCCGCACGAAAGGCGCAACGAUCUGGGCACUGUCUCAACGAGAGACUCGGUGAAAUUAUAGUACCUGUGAAGAUGCAGGUUACCCGCGACAGGACGGAAAGACCCCGUGGAGCUUUACUGCAACCUGAUAUGGAAUGUUUGUACCGCUUGUACAGGAUAGGUAGGAGCCGAAGAGACGUGUGCGCUAGCAUACGAGGAGGCAAUGGUGGGAUACUACCCUGGCUGUAUGACCAUUCUAACCCGCCACGCUUAGCGCGUGGGGAGACAGUGUCAGGUGGGCAGUUUGACUGGGGCGGUCGCCUCCUAAAGAGUAACGGAGGCGCCCAAAGGUUCCCUCAGAAUGGAUGGAAAUCAUUCGCAGAGUGUAAAGGCACAAGGGAGCUUGACUGCGAGACUGACAAGUCGAGCAGGGACGAAAGUCGGGCUUAGUGAUCCGGUGGUUCCGCAUGGAAGGGCCAUCGCUCAACGGAUAAAAGCUACCCCGGGGAUAACAGGCUUAUCUCCCCCAAGAGUCCACAUCGACGGGGAGGUUUGGCACCUCGAUGUCGGCUCGUCGCAUCCUGGGGCUGUAGUCGGUCCCAAGGGUUGGGCUGUUCGCCCAUUAAAGCGGCACGCGAGCUGGGUUCAGAACGUCGUGAGACAGUUCGGUCCCUAUCCGUCGCGGGCGCAGGAAAUUUGAGAGGAGCUGUCCUUAGUACGAGAGGACCGGGAUGGACACACCGCUGGUGUACCAGUUGUUCCGCCAGGAGCAUCGCUGGGUAGCUAUGUGUGGCAGGGAUAAACGCUGAAAGCAUCUAAGCGUGAAGCCCCCCUCAAGAUGAGAUUUCCCAUUUCUUCGGAAAGUAAGAUCCCUGAAAGAUGAUCAGGUAGAUAGGUUUGGAGUGGAAGUGUAGCGAUACAUGGAGCGGACAAAUACUAAUCGAUCGAGGACUUAACCAAAA